rnacentral:rRNA from 1 species
GAUGAACGCUGGCGGCGUGCUUAACACAUGCAAGUCGAACGGAACUACUCCAAUGAGAGUCUUCGGAAAGGAUUUGGUUUAGUUUAGUGGCGGACGGGUGAGUAACGCGUGGGUAACCUGCCCUAUACAGGGGGAUAACAGUUGGAAACGACUGUUAAUACCGCAUAAGCGCACAGGAGCGCAUGCUCCGGUGUGAAAAACUCCGGUGGUAUAGGAUGGACCCGCGUCUGAUUAGCUGGUUGGCGGGGUAACGGCCCACCAAGGCGACGAUCAGUAGCCGGCCUGAGAGGGUGAACGGCCACAUUGGGACUGAGACACGGCCCAAACUCCUACGGGAGGCAGCAGUGGGGAAUAUUGCACAAUGGGGGAAACCCUGAUGCAGCGACGCCGCGUGAGCGAAGAAGUAUCUCGGUAUGUAAAGCUCUAUCAGCAGGGAAGAAAAUGAUGGUACCUGACUAAGAAGCCCCGGCUAACUACGUG